UUAGAGGUGUUAGAAGUUUAAUAAGCUUGUUUUAGGAACAAGAAUUGGGGUUGUUCCCUCUCUAAU
rnacentral:tRNA from 1 species